CAGCCAGCCCGCUGUCUCCCUGCCCCACUUCUCCCCGCGACAGCGAUCUGGCAGGGCCGACCCGCUGCCUGCGCGAAGUACGGGCGUGGCUCCGGAGGAGGGAGGGCGGACCUCGCGCCGACUGACACAGAGGCCCCGCCCGUGGACCCACCCUUCCGCGCCCGGAAAUGCGGGCUUGCAGGAGACCGGAGUCUGAGCCCGUACCCUGGCUGGCAACAGACUUCGCUGUCUCAUUUCGGCCCGGGAGUUCCACUUUCAAAGCACUUUCCAGAGGCAUAGAGUCGGCUUGGCCACUGAAGGCCCGGGCUGAGGGCGCUGCACUGUCACCAUGGAGAGAUCUCAAAUGAUCAAUGCAACUGAAGUGGGAAAAUGGGGGAGAAGAUGGAGAUAGAGCCCAACUAGUUCAUGGUCUCAACUUACUGAAACAAGUCCUUGUAAAAAACACCAAGCUUUUUAAUGUCAUGGGCACAUACCAGGUAUCCCCAAAUGUUUAAUGUUGAGUCCCCAAAGCAAAGGAGGAAAAAAAAAUCGGUAUUUCUUUCUUUUUAAAACAUGGGACUCAAGGGGCGCCUGGGUGGCUCAGUCGGUUAAGCAGCCGACUUCGGCUCAGGUCAUGAUCUCACGGUCCAUGAGUUUGAGCCCCAUGUCGGGCUCUGUGCUGACGGCUCAGAGCCUAGAGCCUAUUUCAGAUUCUGUGUCUCCCUCUCUCUGACCCUCCCCUGUUCAUGCUCUGUCUCUGUCUCAAAAAUAAAUAAACGUUAAAAAAAAAACAAACAUGGGACUCAAACUCACCGCCACGAGAUCAAGUCACACCCUCCCUCCAUGUACUGAGCCAGCCAGUUACCCCCCAAAAAAUGUUUCUAAAAAUAAAAAGACCUGCUAGUCACUGAAAUUCCAGCAGAUGGCAGACACUUCUGUUCACCACAACCAUGCUUGAAAGACCUAGGAGCAAACUUUCUAGAAUUGACCCAGAAACAAAAAGGAAGAAAUGAGAUGCACAAUCUCUACUUUGACCAGAAACAAUGUCCUUCAACACUUUUGAGACAAAGCCAAUUCUCCAGAUCUGUACAAAAAUAACAGCUACACCUAAAAAAGAAAGAGCUAAGAACCCAGAUAUCAGACCACUCAAUGGAGUAAUGCACAGGAUGCCACCACACCUGGUU